UUAAACUCACUUAGUAACGACUCUAAAGAAGUAGGGUGUUACAAUCUUCUUCCCCACUGUGUCGUUCAUAGUCUCUUUAGUCUGAUAGUCACACUAUGUCAUUCUCAGGUCAGUAUCUUCCUCACCCCAUAUUGAUUUAUAUAUAUAUCGUGUAUAAAUGGCAGAACAUUCAAAUGGUUAGGUUGUGUAUAUACUGAACCUGAAAUGAUUAAGUGGUCUGAGGUCACUACAUUUGCUUUCCCAUCUCAGCUCCCCACCUCUCUCUAUUUCUUUCACCAAUCAAAGCUCCAAAUCUCUCAACUCUUAGCCGAAUGUCACUUCCACUGAAGAUCUCACUCACUGAAGAUCUCAUAUCUGUCUGCCCUCUCCUAUUGAGCGAUGGAAGCAAAAGUAAUUAUUGACCCAAAUGACUCUAGGUUCUAAGCAUUCCAGAUGGACAAUAAUACAUACGCACAUUGUUUUGUGCUUAUGAUUUGAGUGACAUUCCAGCUGGU